rnacentral:rRNA from 1 species
UGGGGAAUAUUGGACAAUGGGCGAAAGCCUGAUCCAGCCAUGCCGCGUGUGUGAAGAAGGCCUUUUGGUUGUAAAGCACUUUAAGCGAGGAGGAGGCUACUUGGAUUAAUACUCUAGGAUAGUGGACGUUACUCGCAGAAUAAGCACCGGCUAACUCUGUGCCAGCAGCCGCGGUAAUACAGAGGGUGCGAGCGUUAAUCGGAUUUACUGGGCGUAAAGCGUGCGUAGGCGGCUUCUUAAGUCGGAUGUGAAAUCCCUGAGCUUAACUUAGGAAUUGCAUUCGAUACUGGGAAGCUAGAGUAUGGGAGAGGAUGGUAGAAUUCCAGGUGUAGCGGUAAAAUGCGUAGAGAUCUGGAGGAAUACCGAUGGCGAAGGCAGCCAUCUGGCCUAAUACUGACGCUGAGGUACGAAAGCAUGGGGAGCAAACAGG